CUUCGGUCCGAGUUGUAAUUUGCAGAGGAUGUUUAUGGUGCGGUACCUUCCGAGUUCCCUGGAACGGGACGCCACAGAGGGUGAGAGCCCCGUCUGGUUGGAUACCAAACCUGUGUUAAACUCCUUCAACGAGUCGAGUAGUUUGGGAAUGCUGCUCUAAAUGGGAGGUAAAUCUCUUCUAAAGCUAAAUAUUGGCCAGAGACCGAUAGCGCACAAGUAGAGUGAUCGAAAGAUGAAAAGCACCUUGAAAAGGGGGUUAAACAGUACGUGAAAUUGUUGAAAGGGAAGCGUUUAUGACCAGACUUGUGCCGUGUGGCUCAUCCGAGGUUCUCCCCGGUGCACUCCACGCGGCUCAGGCCAACAUCGGUUUUCGCUGGGGGAUAAGAACAGUAGGAACGUAGCUCCCUUCGGGGAGUGUUAUAGCCUAUUGUACGAUUCCCUGGCGGGGGCCGAGGACCGC
rnacentral:rRNA from 1 species